GCCGGUGAUGAUUCAAUCCAAAUUUCGAGGUGCAGUGGAGCUGAGACCCUGUUUUCAGGGAGAACCCCUCAGCAGAAACUGCAAUUUCUAUGAAGAUAAUGGAUUUAACUGAGGC
rfam:Eutrema salsugineum unplaced genomic scaffold scaffold_3, whole genome shotgun sequence.